GAUGAAGAACGUAGCGAAAUGCAAUAAGUAAUGUGAAUUGCAGAAUUCAGUGAAUCAUCGAAUCUUUGAACGCACAUUGCGCCCGCCAGUAUUCUGGCGGGCAUGCCUGUUCGAGCGUCAUUUCAACCAUCAAGCCCCCGGGCUUGUGUUGGGGACCUGCGGCUGCCGCAGGCCCUGAAAAGCAGUGGCGGGCUCGCUGUCACACCGAGCGUAGUAGAUUUUAUCUCGCUCUGGGCGUGCUGCGGGUUCCGGCCGUUAAACCACCCUUUUAACCCAAGGUUGACCUCGGAUCAGGUAGGAAGACCCGCUGAACUUAAGCAUAUCAAUAAGCGGAGGA
rnacentral:misc_RNA from 1 species